AGGGAAUCUUCCGCAAUGGACGAAAGUCUGACGGAGCAACGCCGCGUGAGUGAAGAAGGCCUUCGGGUCGUAAAACUCUGUUGCCGGGGAAGAACAAGUGCCGUUCGAACAGGGCGGUGCCUUGACGGUACCCGGCCAGAAAGCCACGGCUAACUACGUGCCAGCAGCCGCGGUAAUACGUAGGUGGCAAGCGUUGUCCGGAAUUAUUGGGCGUAAAGCGCGCGCAGGCGGUUUCUUAAGUCUGAUGUGAAAUCGUGCGGCUCAACCGGAAGCGGUCAUUGGAAACUGGGAGGCUUGAGUGCAGAAGAGGAGAGUGGAAUUCCACGUGUAGCGGUGAAAUGCGGAGAGAUGUGGAGGAACACCAGUGGCGAAGGCGGCUCUCUGGUCUGUAACUGACGCUGAGGCGCGAAAGCGUGGGGAGCAAAC
rnacentral:rRNA from 1 species